UACGGGGGGAGCAAGCGUUGUUCGGAUUUACUGGGCGUAAAGGGUGCGUAGGCGGUUUGGUAAGUCUUUUGUGAAAUCUCUGGGCUCAACUCAGAGUCUGCAAGGGAAACUGCCGGGCUGGAGUGUGGGGAGAGGUGAGUGGAAUUCCCGGUGUAGCGGUGGAAAUGCGCAGAUAUCGGGAAAGAACACCCGUGGCGAAGGCGGUUCUGACUGGGACCGGUACUGGACGGCUGAGA
rnacentral:rRNA from 1 species